UCGGCCAAUGCCUUUAUUGGGGACCAGAGUAUGACCCAGCAUCUUGCAUCUACAAGCCAAGUGUCUUUACAGGAGCCAGAAGAGCAAAGGACACACACAGAGGAGAAGGCGACUUGAAGAUGGAGGCGGAAAACGAAAUGAUGCAUCUACAAGCCAAGGAACAUCAACGAUUGCCAGCAGCCACUGGAAGGAAGCCUGAAGAGAGGCACAGAACAGCUUGCAGAUGGAACCAAUCCUAUUGACAUCUUAACUGGAUUUCUGGCCUCCAAACUGUUGAGAGAGUAAAUUUCUCUUCUUUGAAGCCACCAAGUUUGUGGUAAUUUGUUACAGCAGCCCUGGGAAACUAAUACAGAUAUUUUACACAUGCUUCUCCAUAACUGAGAGAACAAGUGGAGGGAGAAAAAAAGUCUGUUCUAAACCACAUUUUCCUAAAUGACAUUUCUAGAAAAUGAAACAAAAUAACUGUACAGUCUUUUCAAGUGCAUAUGUAACAUUUUACCAAAAUCAUCCAUAUUCUGGGCCAUAAACCAUGUCUCAAAUGAUUGAAUUAAUGAAAGAAUGAUAACUAGAAGAUCUCCAAAUAUUUAGAAAUUAAGCAAUGCCCUUCUAAAUAGCCUAUGGGUCAAAGAAGACAUCAAAAGGUAAAUUAGAAAACUUUUAUGUACAAUGAUAAUAAAAAUAUAAAGAUUGUGGGAAGUAAAAUAGUUUUAGAGAAAAAUGUAUAGGUUAAAUGUAUAUAUUAGAAAAAUAAAGGUUGAAAACAAAUUAUCUAAUCAAUAUCAAGAAUUUAGGAGUGGAGGAGUACACAAAGCUUAAAGAAAGUAGAAGAAAAUAAGCAGAAAUCAGUAAAAGAGAAAAUAGUCACACUUUAAAGAAAAAACAAGAAAGUUAAAAGUAGUUUAUAUGAAAAGCUUAGUAAACUUGAUAAAGCCCCAGUAAAACUAAUUAAGGAAAAAGAAGCAAAAAGAUAUUACCAAUAUCAGAAAUUAAUUAGCAUAGGAGUACCACUACAGAAUUUACAGACAUCCAAAGGAUUUCUGAGGAUAUAAUAAAUAGCAUUAUGCUAAUAACCUAGAAAAUUUAAAUAAAAUGAGUAAAUUCCUUGAAAAAUAUAACUUACCCAAACUAAUUCAAUACGAUAUAAAAUAAUACUUUUAUAGCUAUUAAAGAAAUUGAAUCACUAAUUUAAAACCUAACAACAACAACAACAAACCCUCAGGUCCAGAUUGCUUCAUUGCUGAAUUCUUCCAAACAUAUAAGGAAAAAUAAUAUUAAUGUUACACAAAUUAUUCCGGAGACUAGAAAAAAAUAAACAAUUUUUAACACAUUUUACUAGCCCAACAUAAUCUUGAUGCCCAAACCUGAUAAGGACAUUAAAAUAAAACCAAAUUAUAACCAAAGAUCUCUUGAGAACAUAAAUGCAAAUUUUCUAAACAAAAUAUUAUGAAACUGAAUCCAGCAAUAUUUCCAAAGGAUGAUACAAUGAUCAAAGUGAGGUUUACCUUGACUGAUUUUAAAUAUUAAAUCAAUGUUACAACGUUACAAUAAAAAUAUGAGCAAUCCUGCACACACACACCACACACACACUCACACACAUUUCAUAGAUAGGAUAAUCAUCUAUAACACAUCACAAGCAACAUAGGUUGAUUCUAGGAAUUCAGAGUUUGUUUGCCCUUUAAAGAUCAAUCAAUGUAAUAUAUUACAUUAACAGAGUGAAAAAGAAACAUGAUAAUCUCAAUACAUGCAGAGUGAUCAAUUAGAAUGAACAUUCAUGAUAAAUCUUUUAGCAAUCAGAAGUAAAGGGGAGUUUCCUUAAUCUAAUAAAGGAUAUCAUACAAAAAUCUACAGCAUACAUCAUGAUUUGUGAUAACCAUUAAAAGGCUUGUAUCAUCUCUUCUAUUCAAUGUUGUACUGGAGGUUCUAGCCAAUGCAAUAAAGCAGAUGAAAUAAACAAAAGACAUAAGAAAGGAAAAGAUUUAAAAACUUUGUCAGAUUCAUAGAUGACAUAAUUAUGCAGCAACUUCAAAAGAUAUACAGAAAAACUAUUCAAUUUAAAAGUAAAUUUAAUAAAAUUGCUGGAGCUGAGGUGAAACCAGUGCAUAUCUAAGAAGUAAAUAGAGAAUAAAAUUUUAAAAAUAAUAUGUAGUAAUAAAGAUAAUGAAAGAUGUACAUGACUUCUAUAAGGUAAAUUAACAAAUAUUUUUAAAAGAAAUUAAAGAAGACUUCAAAAAUGGGAGGAUAUAUCAUGUUCAUAAAUUUAAACUUCAAAACUAAAUUUGUUAAUGUCUACAAAUUGAUGUACUAAGUCAAUAGAAACUCAAUACAAAUUCAAGUAGGAUUCUUUUUGUGGAAAUUGACAAGCUGAUUCUAAAUUUUAUAUGGUAAUGCAAAGUGCCAAGAAUCACCAAGUAAAUCUUGAAGAUGCACAUAGUUAGAAGAUAUAUGCCACCAGAUAUCAAAUAUUAAUGUCAUGCUAUAGUAAUUAAAAUCUUAAUGUAAUGCUACAGUUUUUUUUGCCAUUAUAGUAUGGCAAAAAACUAAACCAAACAAAAACACAAUGUAUGGCAAAUAAACCAGUGGAACAGAACCUCCCUGGAAUGACAUCCACAUAUAGGUCACCUGACUUAUGGCCAUGGUGCAACAUUUAAUAAAUGAUAUUAGAUCAAUUGCCUAUCCAUAAGAAACAGGGUCUCACUCUGUCACCUGGACUGGAGUGCAGUGGUACCAUCAUAACCCACUGAAGCCUUGAACCCCUGUGCUCAAGGGAUCCUCCCACCUCAGGCUCCCAAGUAGCUGGGACUUACAGGCAUGUGCCACUGAGCCCAGCUAAUUUUAUUUUAUUUUUUGUAGAGACAGGGUCUCGCUUUGUUGCCCAGGCUGGUCUCGAACUCCUGGCUUCAAGCAAUCCUCCUGCCUUGGCCUCCCAAAGUGCUAGGAUUAUAGACGUGAGCCACCUCACCUGGCCCAAUUGCCUAAGUAGAAUAGAAAAAGCAGUAACUGGAAAAAAAGACCCAUAAAUUGAAUAUUAUUAAAAUGUAGAACUUACUACAACAGAAGACAUCAUUAAGAAGGGAAAAAGAAAAAGAAAAGCCAUAGCCUGAAAGACAACAUUUGUGUUACAUUUAUUAGAAAACAAGAGAAUAUUUAAACAACUUCUACAAAACAAUAAAAUCAUAGACAAACCAGUAAAUAACAGACAAAAGUUUGGAAUAGGCCCUUCACAAACAUAUGAAAAGGUACUCAAGAUCAUCAGUGAAAUACAAUAUAAUAAUAAAAAAACUGACCAUCCUUCAUGCAGCAACAAAAGUGACUUCCAAAUAUAACACUGAGCAGAAGCCGGACACAGAAGAGUACCUAUUUUUUGAUUCCUUUAUAAAAUUUAGGAAGCAGCAAAACUAUUAGUGUUAUAAAUCAGAAUAGCGGUUACUUUGGGAAGAUAACUGGGAAAGGGCAUCAGGAAGGCUUCUGGGGUGCUGAUAAUGUUCUAUAUCUUAAUCUGAGUGCCACUUACAUGGGUGCAUUUAAUUUGUAAAUAUCUACUGAACUGCAUAAUUAAGAUGUGUGCACUUUACUACAUAUAUAUGUUAUACUUCAGCAAAAAGUCUACAUGGUACAAGAAAAUUGUUGGAAUAAAAAAAGACCUCCCAACAAAGUAAACUCCAGGCUAUAUGGCUUUUCCAGUGAAUUCUUUUAAACAUUUAAAGAAGAAAUAAUACCAAUUUUAUAUAAACUCUUACAAGGAAGCAAAUAUAUGAAACACUACCAGCUGGCUUUAUAAGACUGUCAUAAGUUUGAUAUCAAAAUCUUAUGAGGACAUUACAAGAAAGAAAAUUACAGUCUAAUCUCUAAAACAGGAAUGGGAUGAUGAAAGUGUUCCGGAAUUAAUUGGCGGUGCUGGUUGCCCAAUGUCUUAGUCUAUUUGGGCUGUUAUAACAAAAUACUAUAAACUGGUUAGCUCAUACACAACAAAAAUUUAUUUCUCAUAGUUGUGGAGGCUAAGGAGUUCAGGACCAACCUCUCUGGCAGAUUCAGCAUUUCUUCCCAUGGCAGGAGGGGCAAAGGAGCUCUUCUGGGCCUCUUUUAUUAGGACGCUAAUCCCAUUCGUGACAGCUCUGCUCUCAUGAUCUCAUCACCUUCCAAAGGCCUCACUCCCUAAUGUCAUCACCUUAGGGGUAAAGAUUUCAACAUAUGGAUUUGGGGUGGACUCAAACAUUCAGACCGUAAUAUACAACUUUAUGAAUAUACUAAAUACCACUGAAUUGUGUAAUUUGAAAAGGUAACUUUUAUGAUACAUGAAUUAUACUUUAAUAGAAACAUAUAAAAUGUAUUAUAAAAGGGUAUUUGUUAUAUAUAAAAAUGAUUAAGUAUUGACUUAGUUGAUUUUAAGAAUGUAAAAUUGAAAUUCAAAAUUAUUUGCCUUUCAAAAAUGUACUCAAAACAGUUUGUUACAUUAACAGAAAAAAGAGAAACAGAUAUGAUUACAUCGAUACAUAUAACUAAAGUGCUCGAUAAACUUCAACAUGUUUCAAAGACAAAAAAUUUUUAAUAAUGAAGAGUAUAUGAGAAUGUCCUUAAUUCAAAAAUGGUUACCUACAAAAAGCCUACUGUAAACACCAGGUUAAUGGUGAAAUGUUUUAAUCCUUCCCUUUGAGAUGUGGAACAAGACAAGGAUGACAUCUAUUGCUACCAAUGUUCAAUGUUAUACUGGUGGUCCUAGCCGUGUGGUAAAGAAGAAAGAAAAUAAGGAGAAGGAAAGGAGGGAAGGAGGGAAGGAGGGAAGGAAGGAAGGAAGGAAGGAAGGAAGGAAGGAAGGAAGGAAGGGAGGGAGGAAGGGAGGGAGGGAGGGAGGAAGGAAGGAAAGGAGGGAGGAAGGGAGGGAGAAAGGAAGGAAGCAAGCAAAGAAGGAAGGCAAGCAGGCAGGCAGAAGGGAAGGAGGGAAGGAAAGAAAAGAAGACAAAGAGUUAAAUAAAAUUAUAAUUAUCUGGUGGUUUUGUACAGUGUCAACCAGGCCAAUUUGGAAUUAAGUUUUCCAGACUUACUUUCUCUGUACGGUUCUGGACUAGGGUUACAGCAUGAGAAAUUAGCCUGAUAUUUGAGAGGCAGAGGUUAAGCAACAGCCAUUCCACUCUGAAAGUCACAUCCUUGGAUAGAGCUGGUGAGGCACAUGCAGGAGUGGAGGGUUCAGAAGACAGACCUUUUACUGGAGGCUUGAGAAAAACAUUCACACGGGGAGUUUCAGCAUCCUCUGCGAUGGCUCAUUCUCUGUAGGCCAGGAAUGACAGUGGGAACUGUUGCCAUUGAACUGGGUUCUCUGAAUUCACUUGGGGACCAAAGGAGCUCAGGGUGACAGAGUCCAAUUGGCAGCACUUAAUUGCCAGAGACAAUUGUAAUGGCUAUUAGAACUGAAACAGCAAUCAGAAUGAUUUGACUGAAGAGAACAUUGUUAUUGGGCUAAUUGAUCAUGGAGUCUCUAAAACCGAAGUAGAGGGAUAGCCGACUAAGGUGUUAUUUGAUUUGUAUAAGCAUAAGAGAUUUAGGUCAAGUGAAUUGAAGUCUGACUUGAAUUAUUGCAAAAGAAGUUCAUUGUUCAUCAACAAUUCCUAGACUUGAAUAGUUUAUAGACCCAGAGCAGCACCAACGGAUGGGAGACUGGAUUCUCUUGAGGAAGCACCAUGCUACGCAGUCAAAAGCAUGUAUUGUAAAUCUUCCCCUAGCCUUCUCCAAGAAGACUUACAGCCAUUUACCAGGAUUUGGAUAUAGAGAGUUUACAGAACUAGAAACAGAGAUAAAAAUAUAGAUAUAGGUAUAGGUGUAUUAUUAUAUUGUUUGUUUUUUCUAUUUUACUAAUUUUUUUUAAUAUUUCCAAGAAAAUUCCUAUUCCAAUUCCAUGUUAUCUUAUUACAGAUUUCAAAUAAGAUGGAAGGUUUCCCAAUUUGUUUUACAAAAUAGCAAAACUGUUUCUUAAAGUGGAUAAACAGCAAUAAAUGUGUGACCAAUGUCAUUUGUAAAUUUAGAUUCUGAAGCUCGUAAACUUUCUAGUAAAAGUAACAACAUUUUUAAAUACCAAGAAGAAAAGUAAAGAAGUCCCCAAGUUAUCCAAAGAGAAGAGUAAGACAAAGAUGUUAUACACUGCAUUUCUCUCAGCCUCAGCCUGGCCCUCACUACAUAGGUGUAUUUUUUUUUAAUAAAAUGAGAUCUUGCCAUAUAUGCCGUUCAUCUGAUUCUUUUUCCACAUAAAACACAUCUCUUUCUAGUCAUUAAGUGCUUCUUUAUGCUAUCAUUUUUUAUGGCUGAAUACCAUGCCAGUGUAUGGAUAUACUUAUUUUCAUUCUGCAUAGCUAUUUCAUGUUUCUUAGGGAAUUCUUUGUAAUGGUCAUUUGAACACAUCUUUUUCCUACUAGUAGAUUAUUUCCAAACCAUAGUUUAAAAUAUUUAGGUUACUCUAACAUUUUAACUAAUAUAAAUAAUGCUGCAAUGAAAAGUUUAUACCAAACUGCUUUAAAAAGUGUGUGAUUAUUUCCUAAGUAUAAAUUCUAAGAAGUAGGUUAAAAUACAUGCCCACUUCUGAGGUUUAUAGUGCAUGGGGCCUUUCAAGAGGAUGUGUUGAUCUCGUGGUACAUGAGAGUCCAGGUUCUUCCACAGCUUCGCUAACCUUGAAGAGUAUCAAUUUUUAAAAUCUUUACUGAUUUGCCAAGCAGGAUGAUUAUUAUACUGGAGGUGGUAGAACCAACAUAAUUUCAAGUUUAUUGAAGUAAAAUCAAGUUUGAAGCCUUUUACGUAUUUAGGCCCCUAGAAUUAGAAAAGACACAUCCCAGGAUAAGAAAGAACUUAAAGAAAGAGUUGCCAGGAACCCCAUAGGAAUAUCUGAGAACAUUAUGGCUGUCUUCAGCCAUGUGAAGUACAGAUUGCACAGAAGGAAUUCGGUUAAGAUUUUU
rnacentral:lncRNA from 1 species